rnacentral:rRNA from 1 species
GACGAACGCUGGCGGCGUGCUUAACACAUGCAAGUCGAACGCUGAAGACCUGGCUUUUGUUGGGUUGGAUGAGUGGCGAACGGGUGAGUAACACGUGAGUAACCUGCCCUCUUCUUUGGGAUAACGCCCGGAAACGGGUGCUAAUACUGGAUAUUCACUGGCCUUCGCAUGGGGGUUGGUGGAAAGGUUUGUUCUGGUGGGGGAUGGGCUCGCGGCCUAUCAGCUUGUUGGUGGGGUGAUGGCCUACCAAGGCUUUGACGGGUAGCCGGCCUGAGAGGGUGACCGGUCACAUUGGGACUGAGAUACGGCCCAGACUCCUACGGGAGGCAGCAGUGGGGAAUAUUGCACAAUGGGCGAAAGCCUGAUGCAGCGACGCCGCGUGAGGGAUGGAGGCCUUCGGGUUGUAAACCUCUUUCGCGCAUGGUCAAGCCGCAACUGUGGGUUGUGGUGAGGGUAGUGGGUAAAGAAGCGCCGGCUAACUACGUG